rnacentral:rRNA from 1 species
GUCGCCGGUCAAAGAGGAGCGGAAAGACCUGUUCCCAUUUCGAACACAGUAGUGAAUUGCUCCAUCGAUUUUGUCGGUACUGUAGAAAAUACGGGAAAGCAAAGACACUGGCGAUU